rnacentral:rRNA from 1 species
AUACGGAGGGGGCUAGCGUUGUUCGGAAUUACUGGGCGUAAAGGGCGCGUAGGCGGACUAUCAAGUCAGGGGUGAAAGGCCUGGGCUCAACCCGGGAACUGCCUUUGAAACUGAAAGUCUAGAGACCGAGAGAGGAUAGCGGAAUUCCCAGUGUAGAGGUGAAAUUCGUAGAUAUUGGGAAGAACACCAGUGGCGAAGGCGGCUAUCUGGCUCGGUACUGACGCUGAGGCGCGAAAGCGUGGGGAGCAAACAGGAUUAGAUACCCCAGUAGUCC